rnacentral:rRNA from 1 species
AACGAACGCUGGCGGCAUGCCUAACACAUGCAAGUCGUGCGAGAAAGUUCCUUCGGGAGCGAGUAAAGUGGCGCACGGGUGAGUAACACGUAGGUAACCUGCCCCCCAGUCUGGAACAACUAGAGGAAACUCUAGCUAAUGCCGGAUGAGACCACGAUCCCUUCGGGGGUUGCGGCCAAAGAUGGCCUCUACUUGUAAGCUAUCGCUGAGGGAUGGGCCUGCGGGCCAUUAGCUUGUUGGUGAGGUAACGGCUCACCAAGGCUGUGAUGGCUAGCUGGUCUGAGAGGAUGACCAGCCACACUGGGACUGAGACACGGCCCAGACUCCUACGGGAGCAGCAGUGAGGAAUAUUGCUCAAAUGGGCGCAAAGCCUGACGCAGCGACGCCGCGUGGGUGAUGAAGGCCU